rnacentral:lncRNA from 1 species
GCCUUCCAGGGUGAAACAGCAGAGCUGACACCAACUCUUGUGCCAGUGUUAAUUAGGAAGUUUUGAAGGCCUUGCAUUCAACAGCACUCGACAAACUGACCUGAUGAGCUUUGACCAAGCGCUGCCAGCUGAGGCUGACCUCUAGGCCACGUUCCCCACAUAUGUUAUGGCUGUUCUGCUGCCAGCUAAUUUUCCCUGGAUGUCUUUGCUACAGUCAAAGGUAGAUGUUCCCAAAUUGACUCUAGUUUAGCUUUCUGCUUUUGAACUGGAGAGUCACACACCCAUAUGCACAGUGAAGGAUGGUGUCUGAUGCAGGAUCCUGGGCACAUACUCAAGCAGUUAGCCCACGCUGAGCCCAAGGCUGAGCUCAUGAACAAUGACCCCAUGGCUACACCAUUAUCACACCCAAAACGAAGCUGAAAUGCAGAUCCCUGGUGCCCAGGUGGGCUGUAAUGGCAUUGAAGUACAGCAUCCCCUGCAUACUUAUCACCUGCCGAGAUAAGAUCCAGGAGGGAGGAACCAUCCUUAUCACAGAGGUUCAAGAUUAGCUGAAUUUCUAACAGCUAAGAUGCAGUUCAAGACGUGUUAGAAGGACCAGCACGACCACCAUCAAUCCUGUGAUGCAGAAUAAAGGUAGAAUUAGAACCAAGAAGUUAAAGGCCCUUGGAUCUCACUUCUCAUGCUUCUCUUUGCUACCUCCCCUGCAACAUCUCCCUGCACUCCCCUCAAGUGUGAGCCCCUGGCUGUUACCUGAGCCCCCACCUGUGCCUUUCUCACCCACCUGGAGGUCACAGCCUUUGCUGCUCACAGCUGCCCAGAGCAGCUGUCUGUGCACUGUCCCUCUGGACCAGAGAACAAGCAGCUGCCUUAAAAGUGGCCACUGACAACUUCCAGCCAGACGUGCUACAUUCCUGUGCCCAGGGACUGCACAGAGGGCAAACAUCUGCCUGCCAGAAGCUGGUUUGGAGCUGUAAACAGUGGGUUGAAUUUGGACUUCAGGCCUUCACAAGUGAGUGCCCUCAGGUUACAUAGGGUGUUGGGGUUAUAUCGAAGUGCUGUCAUGGGUUUAAAAUCCUAAAGUGAUUUGGGUUGAGAGGGACCUUAAAGAUCACCUAGUUCCUAUCCCUCUGCCAUGUUUAACAUCUCAUCUGUACAGUCUAAGAGAACAUCCUUGUUUAGCCCAGUUUUGCAAAAAAUUUAGCUGUGAAUUAUAAACCAAGCUAUGGAUUAAAUGCAUGCUCUGAAACCAUAUCCAAGUAUUACCAUCAGCACAGUCAAAUCUGAGCAAUGGCCCCUAUCAUCUGGAGAUAAAGAGGUUUGUGAGCACAAUCCCAUUUCUAAGCAUGUGUGUGUUGCUGUUCAGAAAGUAGACAUGGUCAUUUUGAUGCCCUCUCCAGUAUAAAAUGAAGUAUGUGUUGACAUUGCUUUUCAAGUGUCGUUUGGACCUAAUUCAUUUGGAGUCUUGGGGGUUUGGACAACUAGAUACAUUUUAAAAAAACAAAAAAUGCAAUAUAUGUCUUUAAUAGGCAGUAAAUUAUUGGAGGCUUAUCAGAAAUAUUUUAAAAGCUUGGUAUACUUCCUCAUUUGUAGAGCUGGGGCACAGAUUAUGUUCUAAUCUUUAAAUUAGCCAGGAGUUACCUUAAAGCAAAACAAGCGUGCAAACAAAAAAUGUUUGUCUAUUUUAUUUUGUUUUCAAUGCUUUCGUCUCAGAACUGUACAAAUUAAUGUAAGAGGUAUUUACUAAUGUGAGAAUCUGACAUGAAAUAAGCAAGUCACCUUCUGGGAAACAACAUGCAUGUUGCUGAAAUGUGGAUAAAGACAUCUAGCAGGAACUUUAGGACACUGUCAGCCAAAGAAGCUCUGAAAGUGCUGUGAAAAAAGAUG